GCUCGGAAGGUUCGCCGCGCCUGCUGGCCGGGUCUGAGAUCUUUUACCGGACUCGCUCGGCUGCAGGACGCGGUCCGACCGUGUGCACUUUCCGCGGGCAGAGCGCCACGACCGGUUCUCGGGGCGGUCAGAAGGCGGCGGGGAUGGUAGGUGUGAGCUUCGGCCUGCACUGGUAUAGCCCCGCCUGUCCCGAUCCGCUCGGGGACCGAGGAGCCGCCGUCGGCGAUCAGGGCCGCCUCGCCCUCCUGGGAUGUCCCGACUGGCAGAGACUGGGCAACCGUGUCUGCCGACCGCUUCCCUGGAUGGACUUGGGGUGGGCCCCGCCGGCACAGGGUCGGUGGCGAAUCGGUCGGCCCUCCACCCGACCCGUCUUGAAACACGGACCAAGGAGUCUAACAUGCGCGCGAGUCGUUGGGUCGUACGAAACCCGAAGGCGAAGUGAAAGCGAGGGCCGGUCUCUGACCGUGCUCAGGUGGGAUCCCUCCUUUCUUUGGAGGGGGGGCGCACCACCGGCCCGUCUCGUCCGCGUUGUCGGUGAGGCGGAGCAUGAGCGUGCACGUUGGGACCCGAAAGAUGGUGAACUAUGCCUGAGUAGGACGAAGCCAGAGGAAACUCUGGUGGAGGUCCGCAGCGAUUCUGACGUGCAAAUCGAUCGUCAAACUUGGGUAUA
rnacentral:rRNA from 1 species